rnacentral:rRNA from 1 species
GAUGAACGCUGGCGGCGUGCCUAAUACAUGCAAGUCGAGCGAACGGUCGAGAAGCUUGCUUCUCUGAUGUUAGCGGCGGACGGGUGAGUAACACGUGGAUAACCUACCUAUAAGACUGGGAUAACUUCGGGAAACCGGAGCUAAUACCGGAUAAUAUUUUGAACCGCAUGGUUCAAAAGUGAAAGACGGUCUUGCUGUCACUUAUAGAUGGAUCCGCGCUGCAUUAGCUAGUUGGUAAGGUAACGGCUUACCAAGGCAACGAUGCAUAGCCGACCUGAGAGGGUGAUCGGCCACACUGGAACUGAGACACGGUCCAGACUCCUACGGGAGGCAGCAGUAGGGAAUCUUCCGCAAUGGGCGAAAGCCUGACGGAGCAACGCCGCGUGAGUGAUGAAGGUCUUCGGAUCGUAAAACUCUGUUAUUAGGGAAGAAUAUAUGUGUAAGUAACUGUGCACAUCUUGACGGUACCUAAUCAGAAAGCCACGGCUAACUACGUG